UACAGAGGGUACUAGCGUUGUUCGGAAUUACUGGGCGUAAAGGGCGCGUAGGCGGUUUGAUAAGUCAGAUGUGAAAUCCCGGGGCUCAACUCCGGAAGUGCAUUUGAAACUGUCAGGCUAGAGUGUGGUAGAGGAUGGCGGAAUUCCCAGUGGAGAGGUGAAAUUCGUAGAUAUUGGGAGGAACACCGGUGGCGAAGGCGGCCAUCUGGGCCACAACUGACGCUGAGGCGCGAAAGCGUGGGUAGCAAACAGG
rnacentral:rRNA from 1 species